ensembl:piRNA 21ur-14456 ncRNA
UUAUUUUUGUCGAACUUCUUG